rnacentral:lncRNA from 1 species
GCCGUGCGCCCUCACCGGAUGGGACAGAGGCGAAGUGGGACCCGGGCAGCCAGGGCUUCAAAGAAAACAGCCCGGCGUGGGGGGCGGGGAAGACCCAGCAGAGACCAACUCCUGGCUGGAAACUGGGGAUCAGAGGAAAAGUAAAGGACCCAGAGGGGACUCCAGGAGCAAAUCCAAUCCGAGAGAAAACACGGAGCUCCGAAGGGCGAGCGUGGAAGGAGACCCUUCCACGGGGAAGCCUGGGGAAGCCCUGGUGGGCUCUGAUCCCUCGGUUUUCUUCCCCUCCUCACUCAGCCCGCCAGCGUGACCAGACUUGGGUGUCGCACCGAGCCCCGGGGCGCUGGGAGCUGGGUCAGGGUCCCGGUCGCGGUGGGAGGAAUGGGGCCGGCGCCCGGGGGCAGCGGCCGGGGACUGACCUCAAUGGGGCUGACGGGAGUGGAGGACAGCGGCUGCAGGUACUCCGGGUGCAGGAGGUGACCGGUGUGAGCGCUCAGCAUCUUCAGGACCCUGAUCGGGAGCCGGUUCGCCUGGCGCAGGGGGUCCGCCGGUGGCAAGAGGGACACCGCUGCCGGCACCGCCGGCCUCUUCCCGCCGCCGCCGCUGCCGCUGCCGCUGCUUUCGGGUGUCCUUGGGUUAGAUCCAGCGGGCGAAUCGCUCAUUUGGAGGAGGCAGCGCCGCUGGGGGGGCGGGGAGGGCGGGGGAGCACCGGGGAGGCGAGCUCCCGGGGCGGGUGGGCUCGCUCCGCAGCGUCGAUCGCGGUGCAGCGGGAGCUGCGCCUCCUCGCCGCCUCCCCUCCUCCACCGACGCCUCCGCCGCCGCCGCCACCGCCGCUGGCCCCGGCUAGCAACACAAAAACCUUCGCCUUCCUCGAGCCGCACGUCAAAUAGCCGCGAUCGGCAGCCACACUUCAAAGGGAUCGCCGCGCCCGCCCAAUCGCAGCUCUCGCCGGGACCCCGGGGCGGGGAGAGCGGCGGGCUGAGGCCGGCUCCAUCGGUGGGCGGGGAGAGCCUUAAAGGGGCCGCGCCGCGCGCCGCCGCUGCCUCGGUCUCGGCCGCUCCCGGGAUUCCUCCCCUCCCCCCGACUGGGCCUUCCUCGCCCUGGGGUCCCCCGCCUGGGACGGGACUUCUCCGGGACCCUGAGCUCUGCGCCCCGUCCUCCUUUCCGGCCGCUCUCUCUCCUCUCUCCCUUCUCACCACUGGGUGGGUGGGGGGUGAUGCUGGCGGGGGCUGUAACCCCGCCCGCCGUGUGUGUCCGAGGUGGGGUGGGGUGGGGUGGGGUGGGGUGGGAGGGAUCGCACGGCGCGGGCUCUGGGACGCUGGAGUUCAAGCCUCUCCCAGAGGCCGCCUGGGGGCAGGCCUCGCCUCGGGAGCCCGGGUCCUUCUCCAGAGCUGCUCCGGCUCUCCUCGGCCCCGCUCUCCUUCCCCUACUUGGCCUCCCCUUGGUGUGUUCACUUGGAAGCGCCCGAGCCUCGGAGGCACCCACUGUUCUCGGGACGCGGCGUAGGCAGCUCCAACUACUUUGAGCCCGUCUUGUCUGAAGCCUGCAAGUUUGUCUCCCUUCUGGAGUGACAUGGUCGGCGACCAAGCGCGGGACCCCAGGCUGUGCGCGCUGUGCCUGCGCCCUGCGUUAGAGGCUCGGUGUCUGGUGUGUUACAGGCUUCUUACCGUGUCCUGCUGAGGGGCGUGAAGUUCCUCACUGUACCGCGCCCAGCUGCUACGAGGAGAGACCGAGAUCACGGGCGAGGCGGGUGUCCCUGGAGGGGGAUCUCUCUCUAAGCGCUGCUCGGCAACACAACCCCUCCGCCCCCCCAUCCUUCUCACUCCGGGGGAAAAAGCACUUGCUUUCCCCAGGCAAAUUUCGGGAUAAAAACUUUUAAUUAAAAAUAACAAUACCCUUCCCGACUCCCUGCGCCUUUCUGAUACAGUGUGCAUUGCUAGCUUCGCCCUGGGCAGAGAUUUUACGUAGUCAUAGUCCUGACAUCCAAGUUCCGGAUCCGCCGCUUUUCCGGAGGCGAAGUUGGUCCUUUGGGUGCCGAACUCUGGGGAGCCCACUUCUCCGUGCGCUCGGCGGCCAGUGGAGGCGCGCUGGUGUCACUGCCUGGCUCCCAGCACCACUUUUCCAGUCCCGAUCCAUCACUCCGGUUGUCAGGGCUGUCACUCGGGGCGUAUUGCUCUAGGAUGGCAGGUUCCCGACUCUGCCGCGCUGACCGACGCCUUGAGAUGACCUGAGAACCCAAGAUGGGGAGAGGUGAUUUCAAAGGAGCUCUUCAAACAGAAAGAAAUAGCUAUCACGAAUCUGUAUCUUGCCCAGUAGUAGAAGACAGCAGACCCCACUUCCAGGCAGUAUCAGUCAUACCCAAAACUAAGUGCACUCCCUGGAUCCAUACUGUAUUUUGGGCAGCACUUAUAGAAUGCUUAGAAAUUACACAAGCUGUAAUUACAUGUUCCCCAAUUUUAAUCUUGGUAAAAUCAUGUUACGCCGAAUGGAAAGGGGUACCCUGACUGUGAGAUGGAUCCCACAUUGCAGCAAGAGGGGUGCGGGAAUGAAAAGGGAGGGAGUGAUCUCAUUUAUUUCAUCGUGGCAGGCUUCUCAUGCCGACUUCUGUGCGGGCAGCCAUUGCCAUCACUGCAAACACCACCUGUAAAAGUCCACUGCAGGGCUGUGUCCACCCACAAGCCAUUUUGCCUUCGGGAGACUGCUGUGUAGAGCGGGAAGGGCAGAAGGAAGCCAGGGUGCAGAGAGGCUGGCCUUUGCAGGAACGC